AUUGAACGCUGGCGGCAGGCCUAACACAUGCAAGUCGAGCGAGCGGCGGACGGGUGAGUAAUGUAUGGGGACUGCCCGAUAGAGGGGGAUAACUACUGGAACCGGUGGCUAAUACCGCAUACUAUCGGAUAACCCAUAGUGGAUUAUCUAGUAGGUGGGGUAAAGGCUCACCUAGGCGACGAUCUCUAGCUGGUCUGAGAGGAUGAUCAGCCACACUGGGACUGAGACACGGCCCAGACUCCUACGGAGGCAGCAGGGGGGAAUAUUUGCCAAUGGGCGCAAGCCUGAUGCAGCCAAGCCGCGUGUAUGAAGAAGGCCUUAGGGUUGUAAAGUACUUUCAUCGGGGAGGCGUUACCCGCAGAAGAAGCACCGGCUAACUCCGUGCCAGCAGCCGCGGUAAUUC
rnacentral:rRNA from 1 species